CACGUAGGGCGCAAGCGUUGUCCGGAAUUAUUGGGCGUAAAGAGCUCGUAGGCGGUCUGUUGCGUCCGCUGUGAAAACUCGGGGCUUAACCCCGAGCCUGCAGUGGAUACGGGCAGACUAGAGGUAGGUAGGGGAGAAUGGAAUUCCCGGUGUAGCGGUGAAAUGCGCAGAUAUCGGGAGGAACACCGGUGGCGAAGGCGGUUCUCUGGGCCUUACCUGACGCUGAGGAGCGAAAGCGUGGGGAGCGAACUGG
rnacentral:rRNA from 1 species